rnacentral:tRNA from 1 species
AUUCCUGUAGUUGAGGAUCAACGAUAGUUUUUCAGACUAUAGGCCCUAAGUCAGAUUAGGCGGGAAUG